rnacentral:ncRNA from 15 species
GAGGUGAUGAAGGCUUGGCCCCGGCCCCCUUCCCAACUCUGCUCUGCUCCUGAAG